GUGCCAGCAGCCGCGGUAAAACGUAGGUGGCAAGCGUUAUCCGGAUUCACUGGGCGUAAAGCGCGUGCAGGUGGCUCUGUAAGUUGGAUGUGAAAUUUCCCGGCUUAACCGGGAAGGGUCAUUCAAUACUGCAGGGCUUGAGGGCAGAAGAGGGGGGUGGAAUUGCCGGUGUAGUGGUGAAAUGCGUAGAUAUCGGCAGGAACACCUGUGGCGAAAGCGGCCCCCUGGUCUGCUCCUGACACUCAGACGCGAAAGCUAGGGGAGCGAACGGGAUUAGAUACCCCCGUAGUCC
rnacentral:rRNA from 1 species